rnacentral:rRNA from 1 species
ACAUGCAAGUCGAACGAAGCAAUGAUAAUGAAUUUUUCGGAUGGAUUUCUGAUUGACUGAGUGGGGGACGGGUGAGUACCGCCUGCAUACCCUGCCUCACACUGCGGGAUAACAGUUAAUAAAUGGCUGCUAGUACCGCAUAAUCGCACAGUACCGCUUGGUACGGUGUGAAAAACUCCGGUGGUGUGAGAUGGAUCCGCGUCUGAUUAGCUGGUUGGUGGCGCAACGGCCUACCAAGGCGACGAUCACUAGCCGGCCUGACACGGUGAACGGCCUCAUUGGCACUGAAACACCCUCCAAACUCCUACGGGAGGCAACAUUGGGGAAUAUUGCACAAUGGGGGAAACCCUGAUGCAGCGACGCCGCACGACCCAAUAAGUAUUUCGCUAUGUUAAGCUCUAUCAUACAGGCAAGAAAAUGACCGCACCUGACUAAGAAGCACCGGCUAAAUACGUGCCAACUCCCGCGCUAAUACCUAUGGAGCACGCAUUAUCCGAAUUUACUGCGUGUAAAGGGAGCGUAAACGGAUGUGUAAUUCUGGUGUGAAAGCCCGGGGCUCAACCCCGGCACUGCCUUGGAAACUAUGUAACUACAGUGUCUGAUAAGUGAGCGGAAUUCCUAGUGUAUCCGUGAAAUGCGUAGAUAUUAGGAGGAACACCAGUGGCGAAGGUGGCGUACUGGACGAUCGCUGACGUUGAGGCUAGAAAGCGUGGGGAGCAAACAGGAUUAGAUACACUGGUAGUACAUGCCGUAAACGAUGACUAGUAGGUGUCGGGGAGCAAAGCUCUUCGGUGUCGCAGCAAACGCAAUAAGUAGUCCACUUGGGGAGUACGUUGGCAAGAAUGAAAGUCAAAGGAAUUGUCGGGGAACCGCACAAGCGGUGGAGCAUGUGGUUUAAUUUGAAGCAACGUGAAGAGCUUUACGUGGUCUUGACAUCCCUCUGAACGCUCUUUAAUAGGAGUUUUCAUUCGGGACAGAGGAGACAGUUGGUGCAUGGUUGUCGUCAGCUUGUGUCGUGAGAUGUUGGGGUAAGUGCCGCAACGAGCGCAACCCCUAUCUUCAGUAGCCAGCAUUUAAGGUGGGCACUCUGGAGAGAUUGCCAGGGAUAACUGGAGGAAGGUGGGGAAGACGUCAAAUCAUCAUGCUCCUUAUGACCAGGGCUUCACACGUGAUACAAUGGCGUAAACAAAGGGAAGAGAACCUGUGAGGGGAAGCAAAUGUCAAAAAUAACGUAUCAGUUUGGAUUGUAGUAUGCAACUCGACUACAUGAAUCCGGAAUCGCUAGUAAUCGAGAAUCAGCAUGUCGCGGUGAAUACGUUGCCGGGUUUUGUACACACCGCCCGUCACACCAUGGGAGUCAGUAACGCCGGAAGUCAGUGAACCAACUGUAAGGAGGGAGCUGCCGAAGGUGGGACCGAUAACUGGGGUG